UUAAGUUCAGCGGGUAGUCCUACCUGAUUUGAGGUCAAACGUUCAAAAAUUGUCUGUAAGGACAGUUAUAAGCUGAACAGACAGAGAGCAGCCUUUGUCUUUGGCGUAGAUAGUUAUCACACCGGUGACUGACCGCAAACGGUUCCGCUAAUGCAUUUUAGGGGAGCUGACAUGAAGCCCGCAAAGACCCCCAUAUCCAA
rnacentral:misc_RNA from 1 species